GGAGAGCACAUGACACAGUCUCCUGUGAAGGUUAGAGAAGAACUCGUGGGAAUCGGUCCUCUCCUAACUCGUGAGUCCUGGGAACUGAAGCAGGUCAGGCACCUUUUGGGGCUGAGCCAAUCUUCUUACGGAUCCAGAUUCUAUCCUUCACUGCUUGCUUUGUCUCUGCCUUUGGAGCUUUUUAAAAGGAAAAGGGAAAGGCUGAGAAAAAUCACCAGAAAUAACCGAAGACCUGUAGGACCUCAACAAAGUGGUGCAUACACUACAAACAGUGGGGUUUUCCAGUUCAAACAACAAUCCCAACACAUAUGGGAGAAAGGUGGGCCAGGGAGUCGGGGGAGAAUCUCUCAUGCAGGUUUUAUUGUGUCUUAUGUAGCCAAAUUACAAAAGGAAAAUGUUGAGGGAAAGGGGGAGAAUUUAUUGUUUUCUUUAUCUUUUCAGCUUGUUGACAAUGUACAAUGCAAUGUAAAUAAAACAUGGCCAGAGAGAUGGUGAGAUGCAUCCAAACUAAAGAGAUUUGCUGCUGCAAGCCUGAAGAUCCGAAUGUGAUCCUUGUGACCCGCACUACAGAAUUCGGUGCUCACAAGUCCUCUGACUCAAUGUGUGUGUCAUAGCAUGCUCACACCCACACACAUACACCCCCCAUGCCCCACACACAAUAAAUAAAUGGAAUUUAUAAAUUUUAAAAAGCAAAGCUAAAUUAAGCCAGAAAUAUUAUCAGCGAACUAGAUGUUUAAUAAAGACAUAGCCUAGCAAUUCACUACAGCAUUCCUUCCCGUGUGUGUUCCAUUGCUUUAACUGGCUACCAUUGCAAACAUUUUUCAAUGUUAACAAAAGUUACAUCGUCAUUGUCAAGUGUGUCUUAGAGCAGAUUCCCAGAGGGAGGAUUUUUGGGCAAAGUAGCAAAAAGUAAUACAAUAAAUUAUAGUUUUUCAUGAAAUCGUUAUAUAAUUUUUUGAAAUACAAAUAAUGAAGGACAAAAUGCUGACAGACCUCAACUACCAUUGACACAGCCUUGUAAGUUUUAUUUUUAGUAAGUGAUAUAUUAUUUCAAAAGUCAAAACUAUGUGGAAAGAUACACAUUGAGCUUCCUUCUUCUGUCAUGGCCAUAGUUUAUGCAAAUCCAAACAAAAAGUAUGUACAAAUGUUUUGUGUUUUCUCCCUCACCCUUUCAUAGGAUAAUACACGUCUGUACUAUCUGUCCCUGGGCUGAGUCUGUAAAGGGACACAGUUCUUUUGUUCUCAGUGAUAGGUGGCAUACAUCCUGUGAUGGAACAAGACUUUAUUCUGGCUCGUAUCUAUCUACAGGACCUGAGGGAGGCUGUGAGGCCUGAGGGAGGUUGUAAGGCAGGCAGAUCUGGAGCUGGGGCGAGGUCCUCCCGAGUCGCACACGGUGGCUUAGGUCAUCACAUCCUGAUCUCGCAUGGCUUCAUUCUCACUGGCGCAGCUGGCACACAUUGGGCUUCUUGCUUACACCCUGAUCUUCUGGAGGCAUUUUCUCAAUGGAGACUCCCUCAUCUAAGAUGACUACAGUUUCUGUCAAGUUGACGUAACACUAGCCAGCAUGUAUAGAACAGAGGCCCAAAGAAGACAGAGAUUCUGCUCUUCACUGCUCACUCUCAGUGCCUACACUUCAGCCUAACUCACAGCGAGUGCUUCGUAAGGCAGAGCCCUCAAGUGCAAAAGGAAGCAUUUGGAAUCUCUACUAGCGCUGAUGAUGAAUUCUGAAGUCUUUGCUAUCUGGGUGUUCACUGUUGAUCACUAAUGGAAGGUGCUGGGAAUGAUGGAGCCAUCUGCCUCCCUGAUUGGCAGCUGCUGGACUCUUUCUUCUUGCACUGGCUGCCUUGAGGAAAAAGAAUGUCAGCCAAACAUAGAGCCAAGACUGCAUUUGUGCCAACACCAGCUAAUUCAGAUGUCCCACAGAUACCUUGGGACAACCAUACAAAGAAGCCCCUGGCUCCUGAAGGCACAGCCUGAGCCAGGAUUAUUAAAAAGGAGUCCGAUGAGAAUCUUUGCUAUUGCUAGCAUGUACGAACUCUGGAUGACCUUACAGCUGCUCCCACCUCGCUGCUCCUAACUCAGUCAGAUGGCUAUGUAAAGCAAGUGGGGCUCAAGAGGAAUCAGCUUUGAGAUCAGAAGUAUGCGGGUUAGUUUUAUGUCAGUUUGACACCCAAACUAGAGUUAUCUGAAAGGAGGAAACCUCAACAGAGAAAAUGCCUCUCUGUAAGAUGCGGCUGUAAGGCAUUUUUCUAAUCGGUGAUUGAUGUGGGAGGGCGCAGCUCAUUGUGAGUGGUGUCACCCCUGGGCUGGUGGU